rnacentral:rRNA from 1 species
CGCGGCCUAUCAGCUUGUUGGUGGGGCAAAGGCCUACCAAGGCGACGACGGGUAGCCGGCCUGAGAGGGUGACCGGCCACACUGGGACUGAGAUACGGCCCAGACUCCUACGGGAGGCAGCAGUGGGGAAUAUUGCACAAUGGGCGCAAGCCUGAUGCAGCGACGCCGCGUGAGGGAUGACGGCCUUCGGGUUGUAAACCUCUUUCGCCAGGGACGAAGCGCAAGUGACGGUACCUGGAGAAGAAGGACCGGCCAACUACGUGCCAGCAGCCGCGGUAAUACGUAGGGUCCGAGCGUUGUCCGGAAUUACUGGGCGUAAAGAGCUCGUAGGUGGUUUGUCGCGUUGUUCGUGAAAACUCACAACUCAAUUGUGGGCGUGCGGGCGAUACGGGCAGACUGGAGUACUGCAGGGGAGACUGGAAUUCCUGGUGUAGCGGUGGAAUGCGCAGAUAUCAGGAGGAACACUGGUGGCGAAGGCGGGUCUCUGGGCAGUAACUGACGCUGAGGAGCGAAAGCGUGGGGAGCGAACAGGAUUAGAUACCCUGGUAGUCCACGCCGUAAACGGUGGGUACUAAGUGUGGGUUUCCUUCCUUGGGAUCCGUGCCGUAGCUAACGCAUUAAGUACCCCGCCUGGGGAGUACGG